rnacentral:rRNA from 1 species
AUACGGAGGAUGCGAGCGUUAUCCGGAUUUAUUGGGUUUAAAGGGUGCGUAGGCGGACGAUUAAGUCAGCUGUGAAAUGCCCGCGCUUAACGCGGGAAGUGCAGUUGAUACUGGUUGUCUGGAGUGCCGUUGCCGUGGGGGGAAUGUGUAGUGUAGCGGUGAAAUGCAUAGAUAUUACACAGAACGCCGAUUGUGAAGACACCUCACGAAGCGGUAACUGACGCUGAGGCACGAAAGCGUGGGGAUCGAACAGGAUUAGAUACCCUGGUAGUCCACGCAGUAAACGAUGAUUACUAGCUGUUUGCGAUAUACAGUAAGUGGCACAGCGAAAGCGUUAAGUAAUCCACCUGGGGAGUACGCCGGCAACGGUGAAACUCAAAGGAAUUGACGGGG